GGUCCUAAGGCCUAGAUGGCAAAGCGCCUGCCUAGUAAGUAGGAGAUCACGAGUUCGAGUCUCGUUGGGACCU
rfam:Daphnia pulex DAPPTscaffold_272_Cont8130, whole genome shotgun sequence.